rnacentral:tRNA from 1 species
UGGCCAGUUGCUCAAUGGUUAGAGCGUUGGCCUGCCGAUCCAAGGGCCUGGGGGUUUGAUUCCUGGUCAA